CUGAUACCAUCUAUCGAAGUUGGAUCCUAUAAAUAAGUCACUGUCAAACAGUAAAUGGAGCAACGUACAUCUAGCCAUAAUUGAAAGAAAAACACCAGACUUCUAUGUUCAUGAAUUGAUUAAGCCUAAAGAAUUAGACUUUAGUCUAAAGAUUCUCCCACUAUUUUAGUUGAAUUGGUAGCCUCUACCUCCAAUCUGAGGAAUUACUCUAAUUCUUUAGUAGGUAUUAGAAUCCAC
rnacentral:lncRNA from 1 species